GCCAGCGGCGACAGCACGUUAAUAGCACCAGUUGCCGAUAUAUCAUUGAAGAUAAGCAACGUUGAGCUUCGUUAGUAUCCAGAUGGGUGACCAUUUGGGCAAUCACGUGCUGCUGAAA
rnacentral:rRNA from 1 species